GAGUUUGAUCCUGGCUCAGGAUGAACGCUGGCGGCGUGCUUAACACAUGCAAGUCGAACGGUGAAGCCCAGCUUGCUGGGUGGAUCAGUGGCGAACGGGUGAGUAACACGUGAGCAACCUGCCCCUGACUCUGGGAUAAGCGCUGGAAACGGCGUCUAAUACUGGAUACGAGUAGCGAUCGCAUGGUCAGUUACUGGAAAGAUUUUUUGGUUGGGGAUGGGCUCGCGGCCUAUCAGCUUGUUGGUGAGGUAAUGGCUCACCAAGGCGUCGACGGGUAGCCGGCCUGAGAGGGUGACCGGCCACACUGGGACUGAGACACGGCCCAGACUCCUACGGGAGGCAGCAGUGGGGAAUAUUGCACAAUGGGCGGAAGCCUGAUGCAGCAACGCCGCGUGAGGGAUGACGGCCUUCGGGUUGUAAACCUCUUUUAGCAGGGAAGAAGCGAGAGUGACGGUACCUGCAGAAAAAGCGCCGGCUAACUACGUGCCAGCAGCCGCGGUAAUACGUAGGGCGCAAGCGUUAUCCGGAAUUAUUGGGCGUAAAGAGCUCGUAGGCGGUUUGUCGCGUCUGCUGUGAAAUCUGGGGGCUCAACUCCCAGCCUGUAGUGGGUACGGGCAGACUAGAGUGCGGUAGGGGAGAUUGGAAUUCCUGGUGUAGCGGUGGAAUGCGCAGAUAUCAGGAGGAACACCGAUGGCGAAGGCAGAUCUCUGGGCCGUAACUGACGCUGAGGAGCGAAAGGGUGGGGAGCAAACAGGCUUAGAUACCCUGGUAGUCCACCCCGUAAACGUUGGGAACUAGUUGUGGGGUCCAUUCCACGGAUUCCGUGACGCAGCUAACGCAUUAAGUUCCCCGCCUGGG
rnacentral:rRNA from 1 species